ACGGAAGGCAGCAGUGGGGAAUAUUGCACAAUGGGCGAAAGCCUGAUGCAGCGACGCCGCGUGAGUGAAGAAGUAUCUCGGUAUGUAAAGCUCUAUCAGCAGGGAAGAAAAUGACGGUACCUGACUAAGAAGCCCCGGCUAACUACGUGCCAGCAGCCGCGGUAAUACGUAGGGGGCAAGCGUUAUCCGGAUUUACUGGGUGUAAAGGGAGCGUAGACGGUUUGGCAAGUCUGAAGUGAAAUGCGGGGGCUCAACUCCUGAACUGCUUUGGAAACUGUCGAACUAGAGUGCAGGAGAGGUAAGUGGAAUUCCUAGUGUAGCGGUGAAAUGCGUAGAUAUUAGGAGGAACACCAGUGGCGAAGGCGGCUUACUGGACUGUAACUGACGUUGAGGCUCGAAAGCGUGGGGAGCAAUCAGGAUUAGAUACCCUGGUA
rnacentral:rRNA from 1 species